GAAUACAAAACAAUACAAUCAGCUUGUUCGAUGUUGGGUUUAUAGGAAGGAAGGAACUAUGUAACGUAAUCACGUUAUUAUUGUGAAGUCAAGUGAAUUCUGAAAACAAAAACAGCUGUAAUAAAUCAUAGAAAGAAACAAACAAAGAAACAGUGUCAGCAAUAAAACAAGGCACAGAGAAACUGCAAAAGUCAAUAAGGGCAACCUAUGCCUUUUGGCCCCCAUUCUCAUUCCGUUGCUAACAAAACUGCGCAAAGACUUUCUCAACAAAACCAAUACAAGACGGUUAUCUAAGUCUACUCUUUCAACCAUCCAUCCCCUAUUCCAUCUUCCUAUUCCUAUAUUAUCAAUCAAUAAAAUUUCACUCCUUAUACGUUCUUCUCCUUCUUCCCUUUAAUUUCUGCCUCUCUCUCGCUCUUUCCUUCCUUUAACAAUUAACUAGAGACGACCCAAUUGACUUCCAGAUCUUUUUCCAGGGAAAAGUUUUGAUUUUUGGAUCGUUUUGUGGUAAGAGUUAGAUGUUGACUGAUAGACGGAAAGUUUGAGGUGGGGCUGGAUUAUAUGGACAGUCUUUGUUGCUUCAGCUCUGUCAGCCAGGUGAGGAAUUCUGUCCCUUUGGAAUAUUUUCUUUUUCUUUUGGAAAUAAUCAAUCUCCAUAUGAGGAUGUGAGGAUGUCAUGUGGUGAAUUGCUGAUCGAGAGUUGAGAUUUAAGCUCUGCUGCUGUGCUAGAGAAUGGACUUGGGACUUUUCCAAAUUUUAUUUUCUUAAUCUUGAUGAGAAAGGUUCUGUGAAUUGAUUAUUUCUGUUCAAACAGUUGCCAAUAACCAGCUUUUCUGAAAGCUUAAGCUUUUGAUAGAGCCAUAAUAUUUUUUUCAUAUCUCUAACAUGUUCGUCCGUGCGAGAAUGUUUUGGACUUGACGACUACAGAAUGAAUGAGUUUGCUAUAUCUCAUACCGACAUUUAAUUAUAAAGAACAGUGGGGCCUUGGAGGAUUUUCCUAUAAUAGGAAUGCACUACAAGAAUGGAUGAAAUUGAUAAGUGACUGUGUUAUUUGUGAUAAAACAAUGGAGCUCAUCAGGCUUAAAAGGAGAUUUUCUAAAUAGCUACAAGACCAACUGUGUUUUAUGGUAUGUCUUAGAAAUUUGGUUUGGGUCUAAUUCAACACUACGAAAUUUACUUGUGAGGUGAGAGUUUUUUCUUACGUAUAUACUUUAAUUUGGUCAUUGAGUUAAUUGAUGUAGGAACUCCGUCUCACUUCCCUCAAUGAUAAUUGGAUAUUUCAAGUGUGAAGUUUGCAGAAUUGAACAUCUGUGGGUUGUCUAAUAAUAAUGACAUAAUAGCAAGUGACUUGAUCAGAUAAACUGGAAUCUUAGAAUUUGAAUUUUAGUCUAACUCAAUCAACAAAACCAGUUUGGUUUGGGCGAAGUAUCUUCCAUUAUAUACUGAAUUUGGUUAUACCAGGAGGCAAUGUGAUAUUUACAACAGUAUUGAUAGCUGGGUGGUGAAGUUCUAGCUAGAGCGCAAGUAUUCUGGAAAUAGAAUAUUUUGGUAGAUGAAUGUUCUAUCUAGAUAAAAUAGGAUUAGUAAUGGAUAUUUACAUAGGAAUACCACCUUU